rnacentral:tRNA from 1 species
UCCCUGGUGGCUCAGAGGUUAAAGCGUCUGCCUGCAAUGCAGGAGACAUGGGUUUGAUCCCUGGGUUGGGAA